CGUCCAGGCCGGGGUGGCUUGAUUGCGAGCGUCUUAAUUGACUGCCCUGGGAGCUAAGCUAAGCCGUUGUUCCGGUGUGGUAUAUAUAGUUGAUUUAGCAAGUCUAAUUUCAUCAUCUAGCUUGGGGAAGAGGUAGAUCGAUGUUCUGGGCGUGUGUUGGAUGCGUUGUCUGAUCUUUUUUGUGUAGUUACAUGGCAACAGGCAACGAAGGGUAGCGAGCAAGCUUCACAGUCAGCCAUUGUUCUUCUUCAGAUAGCUUCUUAGAAUGUUAGAAGCGGAUUGCUUACCAUUGUUUUUGUACUAUGGUACUUUGAUUUCUGCUGUAGGACAAGGAGAACUCGUCUGAUCUGUCGGCGAACUCUAUGCUGCCGGUGGUGCUGCUUCGAUAUAUGCCGGUGCCUGAUAGGUAAUGCCCAAUUCAGAAGAAGAACAUCAUGGCAUGGCCAGCUGUUCUGUCCACCUUCGUCCUGAAUAGGAUGUGUGAGUUCAUCAAGAAUGGGGUCCCAAAUGUAUAAGGGAUUCAGGCUGAAGGAAAUUAAAGUUGUUGCGGACGCUGUUCUCAAGUUCUAUGGGUGUGAAGUUGACCCAUCGCAGAUCUACAACCAUCUGAGACAUUGAAGAGCAAGGUGAGUUCAUGUCCUCAAGCUCAAUAGGCUUGAGGAUGUGUGCUGGGUGGAGGAGACAACUGCCAUCAUGAUGGAGGACGAUGUCUACUUUGCCCACAUCAAGGAUAACCCGAAGGACGCUGAUUUCAUCAACAAGCCCAUAGAGAACUAUGGUCAGAUAAAGAUCAUCUUCGCUGGUCGUGUUACAACAGUGCCCAUCUCUCCGACUGCGAUCCACCGUGCUCUCAGCCACCUCAUGGAGCACAAGGCACAUGCCACCAGGUAUCUUGCGAUGAGCCUGAGAGCAGGAUGAGCUAGUUUACUUCCUUCCUGAGGAAGUAUUACCUUUGAGGUGCCCGCGCAUGGGGUUCUUGUUGUGGUGCUUGUUCUGGUGAUGAUGAUGAACACCAUGAUGAUGUAUAUUUUGGGAGUAGCUAGGUUUGAUGAAAACUUAUGCCAAGUCUGUAUAUUUUGCGAGGUGGUAUGAACUUGUGUUGCAUCACGAAUAGUUGUUCGUGAACUCAUGGUGCAACACUGUGAUCCACUACUACAACUAUGUCAGUCCUGUUGAUUAUGUGCUAUAUAUUAGUCGCCGCUUGAAUUACUA